UACGUAGGUGGCAAGCGUUGUCCGGAUUUACUGGGCGUAAAGAGCGCGCAGGCGGUCGUGCAAGUCGAAUGUGAAAGCCCCUGGCUCAACCAGGGAGGGUCAUUCGAUACUGUUCGACUCGAAGGCAGGAGAGGGAAGCGGAAUUCCGGGUGUAGUGGUGAAAUGCGUAGAUAUCCGGAGGAACACCAGUGGCGAAGGCGGCUUUCUGGCCUGUUCUUGACGCUGAGGCGCGAAAGCUAGGGGAGCAAACGGG
rnacentral:rRNA from 2 species